rnacentral:lncRNA from 1 species
CACACACACACACACACACAGAGAACACCAUGUGAAGAUGAAGGCAGAGGCAGAGAUGGGGAUAUUAAUGCUGAGAAAAAACUAACUUUAGUGCAACACACAGAAACAGCAUCAACUAUAAAGUUCUGGACAAAGAAAAAUGUAAUUUCUCCCACACCGAAGCCUUGGUUCCACUCAGGAUUGGGCAUCAUCAUAGACUUACCUCCUUGGAAGAGGAGAAGAGCUACUUAGUAACUCUCUUGAGAAAAAUCUCAGAUACCCUAAUCUGUUUUACGAGAUGGUGAACUGAGAGGGCCAACCCACAUACACAGUAAAAAAUAAAAUUUAUU